AUCUAUAGAUGAAAUACCUUAAAAGCACCAGAUCCCUCCUCAUCUUGGAAGUUAAGUAGGGUCAGCCCUGGUUAGCAUUUCAAUUAGAGACCACCAAAUGAAUUCCAAGUGCAAUAGACU
rnacentral:rRNA from 11 species